rnacentral:rRNA from 1 species
GACCUCAAAUCAGGUAGGACUACCCGCUGAACUUAAGCAUAUCAAUAAGCGGAGGAAAAGAAACCAACAGGGAUUCCCUUAGUAGCGGCGAGCGAACUGGGAUGAGCUCAAAUUUAAAAUCUGGCCUCUGGCCCGAGUUGUAAUUUGAAGAGUCAGUUUCGGUACCGGCUGUGUCCAAGUCCCUUGGAACAGGGCAUCAUGGAGGGUGAUAAUCCCGUGCUUGACACAAUCACCGGUGCCACUAGAAACCGUCUCAAAGAGUCGAGUUGUUUGGGAAUGCAGCUCUAAAUGGGUGGUAAAUUCCAUCUAAGGCUAAACAUUGGCGAGAGACCGAUAGCAUACAAGUACCGUGAGGGAAAGAUGAAAAGCACUUUGGAAAGAGAGUUAAACAGCACGUGAAAUUGUUGAAAGGGA